rnacentral:rRNA from 1 species
GGGUUAAGUCCCGCAACGAGCGCAACCCCUGCCUUUAGUUGCCAGCAUUCAGUUGGGCACUCUAGAGGGACUGCCGACGUUAAGUCGGAGGAAGGUGGGGAUGACGUCAAGUCCUCAUGGCCCUUAUGUCCAGGGCUACACACGUGCUACAAUGGUCGGUACAAACGGUUGCCUAAUCGUGAGAUGAAGCUAAUCCGAAAAAGCCGAUCUAAGUUCGGAUUGAGGUCUGCAACUCGACCUCAUGAAGUUGGAAUCGCUAGUAAUCGCGGAUCAGCAUGCCGCGGUGAAUACGUUCCCGGGCCUUGUACACACCGCCCGUCACACCAUGAAAGUCGGUUGUACCAGAAGUCGCUGUGCUGACCGCAAGGAGGCAGGCGCCCAAGGUAUGGUCGAUGAUUGGGGUGAAGUCGUAACAAGGUAGCCGUAGGGGAACCUGCGGCUGGAUCACCUCCUUU